rnacentral:tRNA from 2 species
AAAAGUUAGCUCAUUAGGUAGAGCGGUCGGCGUUUAACCGAUUGGUAGUAGGUUCGAUUCCUACACUUUUACCA